CCUACGGGAGGCAGCAGUGGGGAAUUUUGGACAAUGGGCGCAAGCCUGAUCCAGCCAUGCCGCGUGCGGGAAGAAGGCCUUCGGGUUGUAAACCGCUUUUGUCAGGGAAGAAAAGGUUCUGGCUAAUACCUGGGACUCAUGACGGUACCUGAAGAAUAAGCACCGGCUAACUACGUGCCAGCAGCCGCGGUAAUACGUAGGGUGCAAGCGUUAAUCGGAAUUACUGGGCGUAAAGCGUGCGCAGGCGGUUAUGCAAGACAGAGGUGAAAUCCCCGGGCUCAACCUGGGAACUGCCUUUGUGACUGCAUAGCUAGAGUGCGGCAGAGGGGGAUGGAAUUCCGCGUGUAGCAGUGAAAUGCGUAGAUAUGCGGAGGAACACCGAUGGCGAAGGCAAUCCCCUGGGCCUGCACUGACGCUCAUGCACGAAAGCGUGGGGAGCAAACAGGAUUAGAUACCCUGGUAGUCCACGCCCUAAACGAUGUCAACUGGUUGUUGGGAGGGUUUCUUCUCAGUAACGUAGCUACGCGUGAGUUGACCGCCGUGGGAGGUACGGCCGCGAGGUAGAACGUACGAAAGUAGAAGUUAGACGGCGUGAGACGUGCCGACGGACGACGACGAGGGGAGGUUAGGG
rnacentral:rRNA from 1 species